CCUANGGGGGGCUGCAGUAACGAAUCUUCCACAAUGCCCGCAAGGGUGAUGGAGCGACGCCGCGUGGGGGAUGAAGUCCUUCGGGAUGUAAACCACUGUCAGGGGUUAGAAAGUUCUGAUCAACCCCAGAGGAAGGCACGGCUAACUCUGUGCCAGCAGCCGCGGUAAGACAGAGGUGCCAAGCGUUAGGCGGAAUCACUGGGCUUAAAGCGUGUGUAGGCGGACCGUUAAGUGCCUUGUGAAAUCCCACGGCUCAACCGUGGAACGGCUGGGCAGACUGGCGGUCUUGAGGCAUCUAGGGGCGACCGGAACAAACGGUGGAGCGGUGAAAUGCGUAGAUAUCGUUUGGAACGCCAACGGUGAAAACAGGUCGCUGGGGAUGUACUGACGCUGAGACACGAAAGCGUGGGGAGCAAACAGGAUUAGAUACCCCGNUANUC
rnacentral:rRNA from 1 species